rnacentral:rRNA from 1 species
CGCAGCUAACGCAUUAAGUUCCCCGCCUGGGGAGUACGGCCGCAAGGCUAAAACUCAAAGGAAUUGACGGGGGCCCGCACAAGCGGCGGAGCAUGCGGAUUAAUUCGAUGCAACGCGAAGAACCUUACCAAGGCUUGACAUAUACGAGAACGGGCCAGAAAUGGUCAACUCUUUGGACACUCGUAAACAGGUGGUGCAUGGUUGUCGUCAGCUCGUGUCGUGAGAUGUUGGGUUAAGUCCCGCAACGAGCGCAACCCUCGUUCUAUGUUGCCAGCACGUAAUGGUGGGAACUCAUAGGAGACUGCCGGGGUCAACUCGGAGGAAGGUGGGGAUGACGUCAAAUCAUCAUGCCCCUUAUGUCUUGGGCUUCACGCAUGCUACAAUGGCCGGUACAAAGGGCUGCAAUACCGUAAGGUGGAGCGAAUCCCAAAAAGCCGGUCUCAGUUCGGAUUGAGGUCUGCAACUCGACCUCAUGAAGUCGGAGUCGCUAGUAAUCGUGGAUCAGCAACGCCACGGUGAAUACGUUCCCGGGCCUUGUACACACCGCCCGUCAAGUCAUGAAAGUCG